UGCCCUAGCUUUUAUCACUUUCACUUCCACAUUUCUGGGCAAAAAGAGAAGCUCCAUAAAUGACUCUCAGCUGAGCAUCGGUGCUGAUGAUAUGCCUCCGCCAAGGCAAUAGCUUGGGAGGACUUAGAAGUAAGAGCUUCAUUGUAGUUGUUUUAUUGUAUUUAUUUUGUAAAGCCUAGGGGUUUAACUGUAUUAGAUUUAAAUUUAUUUUGUUGUAACCAAGUACUGUCUUGGAAGGCUAUAAGCCUUUAGAGCAUUCUUUAUUUGUUCAACUUUCAUUCUGUUUCCUUAUCAUGUAACAUAAAUUCAGGGUUAGACUUGUGAAUGUAUACCUGCAUAUGUUACCUUUUUGUACAAGUAAUUGGGAUUAAUGGAAGAUAAUUAUUUCA